AAUAAUCAUAAUCUUUUCCUCAAAGAAGUUCAUGAAUUUAUCACUGCUAAAGUGAAAGUCAUCCUCUCUUGGGGAAUGCUGCUUUUUAGUUAGCUUUGCGACAGUAUCAAAAAGGAAUUUCGGAUUGUUCUUAUUUUCCUCAAUUAAGUUAAAAAAAAUAGGAUGAUUGAGCAGUAGUAAGGGCUCUACGGUACUGCACGGUACUGUCUUUCCAAGCUAGUCGGAAGACUUCCAGUUUGGUGUGGCGCCAUUUCCGUUCCAAUUUUCUGGAAGCUUGCUUCAGAGCUCGGGUAUUUUCUGUGUACCAGGGAGCUAGUUUCUUAUGAGAAAUGUUUUUAGUUUUUAGGGGUGCAACUGCAUCUAGGGUAUUGCGCAAGGUUAAAUUGAGUUCCUCAGUUAGGUGGUUAACUGAUUUAUGUCCUCUGGCGUCCUUGGGUAGGCAGAGGGAAUCUGGAAGGACAUCAAGGAAUCUUUGUGUUGUCUGUGAAUUUAUAGCACGACUUUUGAUGUUCCUUGGUUGGGGUCUGAGCAGAUUAUUUGUUGCAAUUGCAAACGUAAUAAAAUAGUGGUAUAUACACAAUGUAAUAUCUUGGCUAUAUCCACAAGAUAAUAACGUGGCUAUAUACACAAGGUAAUAACGUGGCUAUAUACACAAGGUAAUAUCUUGGCUAUAUACACAAGGUAAAAUCUUGGCUAUAUACGCCGUAAUAACUUGGCUAUAUACACAAGGUAAUAUCUUGGCUAUAUACACAAUGUAAUAUCUUGGCUAUAUACACAAUGUAAUAUCUUGGCUAUAUACACAAUGUAAUAUCUUGGCUAUAUACACAAGAGAAUAUCUUGGCUGUAUACACAAGGUAAUAUCUUGGCUGUAUACACAAUGUAAUAUCUUGGCUAUAUACACAAUGUAAUAUCUUGGCUAUAUACACAAUGUAAUAUCUUGGCUAUAUACACAAUGUAAUAUCUUGGCUGUAUACACAAUGUAAUAUCUUGGCUAUAUACACAAUAGAAUAUCUUGGCUGUAUACACAAGGUAAUAUCUUGGCUAUAUACACAAUGUAAUAACUUGGCUAUAUACGCCGUAAUAACUUGGCUAUAUACACAAGAUAAUAUCUUGGCUAUAUGCAAUGUAAUAUCUCUGCUAUACACACACACCAUGAUAGAUCCUUAGUGACGUGGACACCGAGGAACUUGAAGCUGUCGACCCGCUCCACUACAGCCCCGUCGAUGUGGAUGGGGGUGCGCUCAGACAUCCGUGUCGUGCAGUCCAUGCUCAGCUCUGUCUUGCUGACGUUGAAGGUUGUUUGCUGGAACCAUUUGGAGUUUAAUUUGCUUGUGUUUCAUAUAAUUUUUUUUGCCCAAUACAAAUGAAUGGUAAAUAAUAUAUUGUGUCAUUUUUGG
ensembl:lncRNA